GGGGGCGUGUCCGAGAGGCCCAAGGACGCAGAGUGCACAUCUGCUAAACAGGCUUUCGCCUGCGGAGGUUCGAAUCCUACCGCCCCCU
rnacentral:tRNA from 1 species